rnacentral:rRNA from 1 species
AGAACGAACGCUGGCGGCAUGCCUAAUACAUGCAAGUCGAACGAACACUUCGGUGUUAGUGGCGCACGGGUGCGUAACGCGUGGGAAUCUGCCCUUGGGUUCGGAAUAACAGUUGGAAACGACUGCUAAUACCGGAUGAUAUCGAAAGAUCAAAGAUUUAUCGCCCAGGGAUGAGCCCGCGUAGGUAUUAGCUAGUUGGUGAGGUAAAGGCUCACCAAGGCGACGAUCCUUAGCUGGUCUGAGAGGUAUGAUCAGCCACACGUGGGACCUGAGACACGGCCCAGACUCCGUACGGGAGGCAGCAGUAGGGAAUAGUGGACAAGUGGACGCAAGCC